rnacentral:rRNA from 1 species
GAUGAACGCUGGCUGCGUGCCUAAUACAUGCAAGUCGAGCGAACGGACGAGAAGCUUGCUUCUCUGAUGUUAGCGGCGGACGGGUGAGUAACACGUGGAUAACCUACCUAUAAGACUGGGAUAACUUCGGGAAACCGGAGCUAAUACCGGAUAAUAUUUUGAACCGCAUGGUUCAAAAGUGAAAGACGGUCUUGCUGUCACUUAUAGAUGGAUCCGCGCUGCAUUAGCUAGUUGGUAAGGUAACGGCUUACCAAGGCAACGAUGCAUAGCCGACCUGAGAGGGUGAUCGGCCACACUGGAACUGAGACACGGUCCAGACUCCUACGGGAGGCAGCAGUAGGGAAUCUUCCGCAAUGGGCGAAAGCCUGACGGAGCAACGCCGCGUGAGUGAUGAAGGUCUUCGGAUCGUAAAACUCUGUUAUUAGGGAAGAACAUAUGUGUAAGUAACUGUGCACAUCUUGACGGUACCUAAUCAGAAAGCCACGGCUAACUACGUGCCAGCAGCCGCGGUAAUACGUAGGUGGCAAGCGUUAUCCGGAAUUAUUGGGCGUAAAGCGCGCGUAGGCGGUUUUUUAAGUCUGAUGUGAAAGCCCACGGCUCAACCGUGGAGGGUCAUUGGAAACUGGAAAACUUGAGUGCAGAAGAGGAAAGUGGAAUUCCAUGCGUAGCGGUGAAAUGCGCAGAGAUAUGGAGGAACACCAGUGGCGAAGGCGACUUUCUGGUCUGUAACUGACGCUGAUGUGCGAAAGCGUGGGGAUCAAACAGGAUUAGAUACCCUGGUAGUCCACGCCGUAAACGAUGAGUGCUAAGUGUUAGGGGGUUUCCGCCCCUUAGUGCUGCAGCUAACGCAUUAAGCACUCCGCCUGGGGAGUACGACCGCAAGGUUGAAACUCAAAGGAAUUGACGGGGACCCGCACAAGCGGUGGAGCAUGUGGUUUAAUUCGAAGCAACGCGAAGAACCUUACCAAAUCUUGACAUCCUUUGACAACUCCAGAGAUAGAGCCUUCCCCUUCGGGGGACAAAGUGACAGGUGGUGCAUGGUUGUCGUCAGCUCGUGUCGUGAGAUGUUGGGUUAAGUCCCGCAACGAGCGCAACCCUUAAGCUUAGUUGCCAUCAUUAAGUUGGGCACUCUAAGUUGACUGCCGGUGACAAACCGGAGGAAGGUGGGGAUGACGUCAAAUCAUCAUGCCCCUUAUGAUUUGGGCUACACACGUGCUACAAUGGACAAUACAAAGGGCAGCGAAACCGCGAGGUCAAGCAAAUCCCAUAAAGUUGUUCUCAGUUCGGAUUGUAGUCUGCAACUCGACUACAUGAAGCUGGAAUCGCUAGUAAUCGUAGAUCAGCAUGCUACGGUGAAUACGUUCCCGGGUCU